rnacentral:rRNA from 1 species
AGUGAACGCUGGCGGUAGGCCUAACACAUGCAAGUCGAACGGCAGCACAGUAAGAGCUUGCUCUUACGGGUGGCGAGUGGCGGACGGGUGAGGAAUACAUCGGAAUCUACUUUUUCGUGGGGGAUAACGUAGGGAAACUUACGCUAAUACCGCAUACGACCUACGGGUGAAAGCAGGGGAUCUUCGGACCUUGCGCGAUUGAAUGAGCCGAUGUCGGAUUAGCUAGUUGGCGGGGUAAAGGCCCACCAAGGCGACGAUCCGUAGCUGGUCUGAGAGGAUGAUCAGCCACACUGGAACUUAGACACGGUCCAGACUCCUACGGGAGGCAGCAGUGGGGAAUAGUGGACAAUGGGCGCAAGCCUGAUCCAGCCAUACCGCGUGGGUGAAGAAGGCCUUCGGGUUGUAAAGCCCUUUUGUUGGGAAAGAAAAGCAGCAGGUUAAUACCCCGCUGUUCUGACGGUACCCAAAGAAUAAGCACCGGCCAACUUCGUG